ensembl:lncRNA
GGGGAGCUGGAUUCCCCCGGGACAGGCCGUUCCCCCUCGACGGAGUCGCCGCACACUUGGGACGUGUGCCGGGCGUUUAGAAGGUGGCGUUUGACCAUCCAGUCUGAGCCACGCCGAUGUUUGAUUUGGGUAAUGAUGGUUUCAUCCAAUGUCUCAGCUGAUAACCACGUGUCAGUGCAGUUCAGAGCAGCAGAAGGGUGUGCUGGGCAGAGUACACCGGGCUUUGGUGACUUGGGACUGGACAUACAAGGAACACGAAGGAGGGCUACAUCAUGCCGCUUUGGACUUGAAACCUUCUAAUUCUUAGUAGGUGGAUGUGGAGUCAGCUGGGAAAUGCAAGGUUUGUACGUUAUUAAAAAAUACAUGUUAUUUCUAAAUAAAAGCAUGAAAUUUAUAUGCCUUCAUCCAUCAUCCAUUGACUUUCACUCAGCAGUUCAAGGAGCUCUACAAGCUCUUGAAAAAGUGCCAUUUGCUGUGGUCAAGAAGAGGCCACAAAUUUUGCAAGGACUGAGCUUGGUGCCAACCUCAUGAAGGCAAACAGAAUCCCCAGAGAAGGAAACAUUCCCCUGGAUCUCCUGUGGAUUUCAGAGUGCCAGACUGGUGACAGGAAAAGGAUAUAAUGAGGAGACAUAAUCAGACCAUUUCACUGACUCAGUAUCAACUCUUUCCCAUGGAGAUUUAUGCUGUGCAGCUCAGCUCCACUAUUAUACCCAGCUGAUGAAUUUUUUCCUGCAGAGGCCCUGAGAGGACAGGCAUACACAUCCUGCAAAGGUACAGGAGCAUUUCCCUGCACAGGAACUCUGAUCGGUGACAUGGCCUCCUAUCAGCCCUGCUUCUUCCCCAGCUAAUAUUGUUCAUGUACUAUAAAAGAACUAUUGCAGAGCAAAGACUAGCUUUGUACAGAUUAUGUCUUAAGGGUGCUUGGACUUUGAGUCUACAGACACAGGAUUCACUGAAAUUGCAGAGCCCUGAAGCUCGGUGUUCUCCUGGCAUAGACUUGUUCACUCUGAUGGGCUGUGCUGCCCAGAUACUCUAAUAAUGGAGGAUCACCUAAAUUUCUAUUUUCAGGGGAUGCAGAUAUAAAUUAGAAUAACAGUUUAAAUCAAAUACAUUUUUCAGAAAACAUACAUUUUGAGGAAGGGGUUAAAUUCUGCGUGAUACAAACUUUCUCAGCACUCCCAUGGCAAUCAGAGCAAUUUGGAAAAUGUUAUCUUCUGAAAAAAAUCAGAAGCCUGGGAACACCAGGUUUUCUCUUUAGCAGAGAAUGGCUAUCCAUGCAGGAGGGCAUCUGUGCUCUUCAGUCUCCCCUGCUAUAAAAAUUCCUGCCUGCAGUGAAGGAAAGAAAAUUGGUUUCAGAACAGGGCUGCUGCUUUACUUGAACCUUGUGUUUGCAGAAUGCAACUGCUUUGAUUACACCUAAGACUGUUUUAAAUGCUAGAAAAGCUGUCUGUGUUCACACCAACAUACGAUCUUUCCAUUUACCCAGCUGGAUGCUGUUACGAGCUUCCUGUUCAUUACCUGUUUGUUUUGGCAGGACUGUUCAAGGGUGACAAAAGCAGAAAUCAGUGGCUAAAUACAGGCAAAACAUCUCUUGUUGGUGCUCUGGCUUUUGAGGGAGGGCUUUUUCUACACACAGGAAUUUCAGUGUUCAGACUUAAAAAGUUUAGUUCCAGUGAUAGAGAAUAGAGUGAUUGAAGCUGUUUUUGUUCAAGGAGUCUAACAGGAAAGAUGAAGGACUCCUUGGAAGCCAAAAGAAGGAGGAAGAAAAGUGGGAGAAAAAGGAAUGUGAAGAACAUGAUUCUGUCAGAGACAAUUUGAGAACAGCUGGGAGGUUUAGGGAUGCCUGUGUGAGUAGUCAAGUGAUGACAAGACAGAGGAGCUGCUGGGGCAAAAACCUCUGUGAGAACAAUGGACCAAAUGAGUCCUUGUGUCACCAUGUUUCUGGAAGUAUGUGGGCCUCUACAAAGCCUGAGAAAGCUGCUGUGGAACCAAGACAUGAUGUAGGAGAAAGUCUGGCUAAAAAGCCCUGGGUCCCGUUGGGUGCAGACACCAGCCACUCACCUUAGGGAGGCUGCUUGAGCAGUGUGUGUGCUGCAGGCAAUGGCAGCCCCGAGCCACAGACACUGCUUUGAGACUGCGACACGUGGCCUUUCUCCCUGGAACAGGAGUCCUCCCUCUGUGCUUGUCACAAUAGCCAACACGCAGGAGAUCAAACUGAUCCCUCCCCAGCCCCCAGACCUGGAAGGUGUGGUUCAGGCAUUACCUUGUCCUUACCCCUCUGCUGCUACAACUCUGCCAGCUGGGCAAAGCUGAUUCCCAGUGCUAAGUGGGGAUGGAUGUGCAUCCAUGGUGUGGACACAGCUGGGGUGUUAAUGGGCAUCCUGAAGGGAGGUAAGCAAACACUGGGUAUUUAAGCAGUGGCCCUCUUAGCAAAAACGAACCACCAAAGGCUCCUGUGAGAAAGGCUAUUACAGAAGGAGGGGAAGCUCUUGGGAGUUUAUUUUGUAAAAUGUGAAUAAACCCAGGGAUGAACAGAGACUCCAGGGCAGAGAUGGGGAAUUGUUCUGGCACUCCAGGGGAGCCAUCUUCAGCUCCUGCAUUAGCACAGCCCUUUCAGGCAGUCCCAGCAACUCUCAGGAAGGGAUGUUUCCCUCUGCCAUCAAUAUUUUCCUGGCACAAGUUCCCCUUUCCCAGAUGACCCCGGGGCAGGAACCUCUGUUUUCACAGUAUGUGGGAUUAACGACAAAGAUCCUUUAUAUGGACACAGAGAAGAGGAAAGUCUAUCCCUUCUUCUGUAAAGAUUUGCUCUGAAAAGUGAUUCCACGCUGGCCCCUUGCCACAUAAAGCCCUGUUUCCAGUCCCAUGGCUGUGAAUUUGGUGGGACAGAAAUAUUACAUCUAUUGAUAACCCAGAGGUGUCAACAGAUGUAUCAAUAAGUUUGCAGCCAAGAUUUCUGUCUUGUCUAUCCUUUCUUGCUCCCAAAGAUCCGAAAACCUAGACCAGGUUUCUUAGAGGAAAUAUUGAGGCAGUAUACCUCACUCAGCAUGGAAUUGCCUACCGGUCCCAAAACUUCAGCUGUUGCAAGAAAACUGCAUGUCAACAAAUAAAAAAAAUGAAGCAU